rnacentral:lncRNA from 1 species
UUCAUCGGGUCUUGGUAAGAUAGCGUGAUCAGCCUCUCGCCGAUAGUUACCAUACUGAAAGGUGCCUUCACUUUCCCUGACAACCAAAAAUACCACAACUAAUCAGCAUCAAUGUAAUCUGAGAUCUCAAAUUGAAAAAAAAUGCAAACUUUGCAAGUACGAACAGUAUGAUACCAAAAAUACCACAACUAAUCAGCAUCAAUGUAAUCUUAUACAAACGUGUUUAUAGCAGGUUCUAUGCUGAAAGCUAGCUGCUUGCCAUGAAAUUAUUUUGGAGAAGUCAGACCCUGAAGAAGAAGACACCUAAACCGCCAAUUUCAUCGGGUCUUGUUAAUCACUUCAACUAUAUAUUUUAUGUAUAAAAUGGCUCCGACAAGUUGUUGUACAUAUCUUAGUAUUAUAUGGAAACUGUCAAAUUUACCUGAAAAAGGAUUUCUCUUCCAUUGCGCACUGCUGCACAGGGGCGGAUGAAAUGACGAUGCGCAAUUACCAUUACAGACCUUCGGCGUGCACAUCUCUACCUGCUAAGAAAAUACAGAAACAUUCUUACUUGACUGAAGUAAAAUUUAACAAGAACAAAGCUACUUGUUUCAUUCGUUAUAAUUAUUGGAACACCUCAUACUAAACAUACAUAUUUUUUCGGAAUUGCAUGAACUGUGUGAUUUCCUUGUCGCAUGAAGGUCAUCCUUCUGCUGAGGCCUC